rnacentral:rRNA from 1 species
AUUGAACGCUGGCGGCAUGCCUUACACAUGCAAGUCGAACGGCAGCGGACCUUCGGGUGCCGGCGAGUGGCGAACGGGUGAGUAAUAUAUCGGAACGUACCUUUCAGUGGGGGAUAACGUAGCGAAAGUUACGCUAAUACCGCAUAUUCUGUGAGCAGGAAAGCAGGGGAGUCGCAAGACCUUGCGCUGAUUGAGCGGCCGAUAUCAGAUUAGCUAGUUGGUGAGGUAAAGGCUCACCAAGGCGACGAUCUGUAGCGGGUCUGAGAGGAUGAUCCGCCACACUGGAACUGAGACACGGUCCAGACUCCUACGGGAGGCAGCAGUGGGGAAUUUUGGACAAUGGGCGCAAGCCUGAUCCAGCCAUGCCGCGUGAGUGAAGAAGGCCUCGGUUGUAAG